GACUUGGUAGCUCAGUUGGUAGAGCGUGGGGCUAGUUUACCUGAGGUCACAGGUUCAAUUCCUGUUCAGGUCA
rfam:Sphaerobolus stellatus SS14 unplaced genomic scaffold SPHSTscaffold_78, whole genome shotgun sequence.